CGCACGUGGUCUGGGCGCCUCGGGAGUACCGUGGGCUUGAAAAUUAUCUUUCAUCAAUUAAAUCACACCUAAACGCCUUGGUCCACAAAAGCUGUUCUCUCAAUCUCCACUGGCUGCCCCUGCCUGUCGUACAGAGCUAAGACGAAGUGGAAAAAAUUGGAUUUUCUGAGAUUGGAAGGCGGCUGUUUCUCGAAAUGUGCCCGAGCCAGCCCCACGCCGCUGCGGGAGAAAACAAGACAAGGCGUGGACGCGCUCAACGUGGUGUCAUCCUAGUAAAACCGCCUCGGAAAAAAAAAAAAAGCUUCAGGACACUGCUGAAUCGACCACUUUCUGGCAAGGC